rnacentral:tRNA from 1 species
ACCUGGUUGGCUCACUCGGUGGGGUGUGUAACUGUUGAUCUCAGGGUUGUGGGUUCAAGUGCCACAUUGGGUA